rnacentral:rRNA from 1 species
UACGGAGGGUGCAAGCGUUAAUCGGAAUUACUGGGCGUAAAGGGUGCGUAGGCGGUUAGUUAAGUCUGUCGUGAAAUCCCCGGGCUCAACCUGGGAAUGGCGAUGGAUACUGGCUAGCUAGAGUGUGUCAGAGGAUGGUGGAAUUCCCGGUGUAGCGGUGAAAUGCGUAGAGAUCGGGAGGAACAUCAGUGGCGAAGGCGGCCAUCUGGGACAACACUGACGCUGAAGCACGAAAGCGUGGGGAGCAAACAGG